rnacentral:rRNA from 1 species
GAUGAACGCUGGCGGCGUGCCUAAUACAUGCAAGUCGAGCGAACGGACGAGAAGCUUGCUUCUCUGAUGUUAGCGGCGGACGGGUGAGUAACACGUGGAUAACCUACCUAUAAGACUGGUAUAACUUCGGGAAACCGGAGCUAAUACCGGAUGAUAUUUUGAACCGCAUGGUUCAAAAGUGAAAGACGGUCUUGCUGUCACUUAUAGAUGGAUCCGCGCUGCAUUAGCUAGUUGGUAAGGUAACGGCUUAUCAAGGCAACGAUGCAUAGCCGACCUGAGAGGGUGAUCGGCCACACUGGAACUGAGACACGGUCCAGACUCCUACGGGAGGCAGCAGUAGGGAAUCUUCCGCAAUGGGCGAAAGCCUGACGGAGCAACGCCGCGUGAGUGAUGAAGGUCUUCGGAUCGUAAAACUCUGUUAUUAGGGAAGAACAUAUGUGUAAGUAACUGUGCACAUCUUGACGGUACCUAAUCAGAAAGCCACGGCUAACUACGUG